GGAGAGGUGGCUGAGUGGUCGAAAGCGGCAGAUUGCUAAUCUGUUGUACGUUUUAGGGCGUACCGAGGGUUCGAAUCCCUCCCUCUCCG
rnacentral:tRNA from 2 species